UUAUCACACCGAUCCACGAUCUCUAUGAUUGCGAAGCUAGGCAUGGGUUGUUUGAGCGUUUUGACGCGGUACCACGUGCCGCUAGUUCCUACGAUCUUGCCGAGUUCAUCUAACAAAAAACCUGGGUUACUAGGCGGUUAGUACUACGUACUGAUUGUCGAGUGCCCUCCCUAUACAAAACGAUUUUAACUAACGUGAAUUAAAGAGGGAUGCGGCCGUAGCAUUUAUUUGUUAAUGGCCGCUCCUUCAAACAAAGUAAUGUAAUUACAACUUUCAGCAACGGAUGUCUAGGUUCCCACAACGAUGAAGAACGCAGCGAAAUGCGAUACGUAAUGCGAAUUGCAAUUUCUCGUGAAUCAUCAAAAUUUUGAACGCACAUUGCGCUUCCGGGAUAUGCCCGGUAGCAUGCUUAUCUGAGUGUCCGCGAACCCCACUCAGCCUUGUUACUGUGUAACGAGUGCUGGACUGUGGCACUGCACUGCUUCGGCGGUGCUGUGUUGGAAUGCGUGGCGCUUACUGCGUGGCGAGGCUCUAGUCGUUGUCUCGUACUGUACUAUGCAGUCGUCUCUGGUAGAGGCACUUUACGUGCAUUCGAAAGAGAUUUGGCUGUGUACGGUAUUACGGACGACGUACUUUGUGCCGCACGAAGGUUUGCUUAGCUUAAUUGUUAGCAAGCUUCUACGUGUAAUUUCG
rnacentral:rRNA from 1 species